UUUGUUUUGGCAGAUGAUCUCUUGGUUUGAUAUGUUUGCUCCCCCAGGCCACAUGGAAAUAAGGAGGUUUUUUUCAAAGAAGAGGAAAGCACUUGAGAGUGAGUCAGAGGCAGUGGCAGCACGCAGGGACAGUGGAGAGAGUUGCACUGCUGAGGUCCCCCCUCCUGUGUGAGGAAAUCGUUGCUGCUGCCGCUGCUGCUGCUGUUGCUGCUGCUGCUGCUGCCGCUCUUACUCCACAUCCAGGCCUCCCCCAUCCCUCCUCCCCCUCCGCCA